rnacentral:rRNA from 1 species
UACGUAGGGGGCGAGCGUUGUCCGGAAUUACUGGGCGUAAAGGGUGCGUAGGUGGCCUUUUAAGUUGGAUGUGAAAUACCCGGGCUUAACUUGGGGGGUGCAUCUAAUACUGGGAGGCUAGAGUGCAGGAGAGGGAAGCGGAAUUCCUAGUGUAGCGGUGAAAUGCGUAGAUAUUAGGAGGAACACCAGUGGCGAAGGCGGCUUUCUGGACUGUAACUGACACUGAGGCACGAAAGCGUGGGGAGCAAACAGGAUUAGAUACCCUGGUAGUCCACGCUGUAAACGAUGAAUACUAGGUGUAGGGGGUAUCAACUCCCCCUGUGCCGCAGCAAACGCAAUAAGUAUUCCGCCUGGGGAGUACGGCCGCAAGGUUGAA